ensembl:lncRNA
GUCUGUAUGGGUCCCUAUGUGUCCCUAUGGGUCCCUAUGUGUCUCAAUGUGUCCCUAUGUGUCUCCAUGGGGUCGCUAUGGGUCGCUAUGGGUCGCAAUGUGUCGGUAUGUGUCCCCCUGGUGGCUGUGUGUCUCUAUGUGUCCCUAUGUGUCCCUAUGUGUCUCCAUGGCAUCCCUAUGUGUCUCCAUGGCAUCCCUAUGUGUCCCUAUGUGUCCCUACGUGUCUCCAUGGCAUCCCUAUGGGUCCCUAUGUGUCUCCAUGGGGUCGCUAUGGGUCGCACUGUGUCGGUGUGUGUCCCCCUGGUGGCUGUGUGUCUCUAUGUGUCCCUAUGGGUCCCUAUGUGUCCCUAUGUGUCCCUAUGUGUCCCUAUGGUUCUCUAUGUGUCCCUACGUGUCUCCAUGGCAUCCCUAUGGGUCGCUAUGGGUCGCUAUGGGUCGCUAUGGGUCGCAAUGUGUCGGUAUGUGUCCCCCUGGUGGCUGUGUGUCUCUAUGUGUCCCUAGGUGUCCCUAUGUGUCUCCAUGGCAUCCCUAUGUGUCUCCAUGGCAUCCCUAUGUGUCUCCAUGGCGUCCCUACGGGUCCCUAUGGGUCGCUAUGUGUCGCUCUGUGUCCCCAUGUGUCGGUAUGUGUCCCCAUGGUGGCUGUGUGUCCCUAUGUGUCCCUACGUGUCCCUAUGUGUCUGUAUGUGUCCCUAUGUGUCCCUAUGUGUCCCUAUGUGUCUCAAUGUGUCCCUAUGUGUCUCCAUGGGGUCCCUAUGGGUCGCUAUGGGUUGCAAUGUGUCGGUGUGUGUCCCCCUGGUGGCUGUGUGUCUCUAUGUGUCCCUAUGUGUCUCUAUGUGUCUCCAUGGCAUCCCUAUGUGUCCCUAUGUGUCCCUACGUGUCUCCAUGGGGUCCCUAUGGGUCGCUAUGUGGCGCUAUGGGUCCCUAUGGGUCCCUAUGUGUCCCUAUGUGUCCCUAUGUGUCUCUAUGUGUCUCAGUGUGUCUCUAUGUGUCCCUAUGUGUCCCUAUGUGUCUCCAUGGCAUCCCUAUGUGUCUCCAUGGCAUCCCUAUG